GUGCUUACUACAGUGUAGGUAGCCAUAGGACAGUGAGUGCUUACUACAGUGUAGGUAGCCAUGGGAGGGUGAGUGCUUACUACAGUGUAGGUAGCCAUAGGACAGUGAGUGCUUACUACAGUGUAGGUAGCCAUGGGACAGUGAGUGCUUACUACAGUGUAGGUAGCCAUAGGACAGUGAUCGCUUACUACAGUGUAGGUAGCCAUGGGAGGGUGAGUCCUCACUACAGUGUAGGUAGCCAUGGACAGUGAGUGCUUACUACAGUGUAGGUAGCCAUGGGACAGUGAGUGCUUACUACAGUGUAGGUAGCCAUGGGACAGUG